rnacentral:tRNA from 1 species
UAGCCUAGUGGUUAAGGCUAUGGACCGCCAAUCCGGAGACGGUGGGUUCGAUUCCCUU